CUAAUGUGAAAGGAUUUUCUAAAGAGGCUCAAUAUCAUUCAUUGUCUUGCACCCUAGUGCAGAAGAGAGGAGGUUUGAAGUUUUAUCGUCUAGGUCUGUUGCAAUCAAUAGUUCCUGGCAGAUAAGGGCCCACUUUGCGUCCUGAAAGUGGUUGCUCUACCAAUGGCCACCAGAAUGUCAGAAAGAGUCAGACAGGAGUGUGGAGGCCACAUCAGGAAGUAGAUCGUCCUGUGAAGGAUGAAGAGGCAGUCAAAUGAGCUCUAUUGCAUAAUUUUUUAGAUAAGCAAAUAGCAGAGUCCAGUGGAAAAUUCACAAGACCUCCAUGUCUUUAAAACAACAACAACAACAACCCCAAGACAGUAAAAAGAGACCAUUGUGAGCCGUGUCACUGUAUGUGUGUGCCACAGGGCAAGCGGGAAUGGAGGUGGAAUGUGUGUUGCAAAGGCCAGGCAUGGCACAUGGAGAGGCGUUAUCUCAGAUGGGGUCAGAUGAGAGUGGCUUGCCCUCAGUGGGACACUUUAAACCAUGCGUAGCACAUUGGAGUACGUGUCACUGUGCCCUGCCUCUGAACAGAAUCAACUGGGUGACUCACUUUCAGCCCUCCUGUUCCAGGGUUCAACUGACUCAGCUUUUGACUGGUCCCAUGGAAGGCUGCCCUGGAAAGACGUUAAAGGUUUGGAAACACAAAACAGGAAAAGACAUUUCAGAAUGGUUAAAUGAAAUCCUGGUCGAUACAUGCCUAAAAAAGAGACAAAGAAUGGUCUCAGCAGAGAGGAAGGAGGACCGGAGCCAGAGACAACACCAGAAUAAAGGGCUAGCCCAUCUUUGGAACCUAGGCUGAGAGAGGGAUACAGACAAUGUUUUGACCUUGAUCAUGGAAGGAAUUGUUCCAGCUAUGAAUUAACAGACCUUUAGAAACCAUGAUGUACCCCAGCAAUUCACAGGCAACAUGGCAUUCCAGGGGGAGGGCCAUGUCUUUAGCUCUAGUGUCUGCUGUAUUAAUGUUGAAGAAACAUGAAACUCUGAAUGGCAGAACACUUCUGUUUCUAUUGCAAAAAAUGAUCCGGAUAUAAAGAUACUAACAGCCUUAGUCAUCCUCAUAAGCAUGCCCUACCCCCACCGCAGCUGUCCCUUCCUGAGGCCCCUAACUCCUCUUUCUUGCCCAAAGAGCAAAUCACGUGGCCCAGGCUAAGCCAGUCUGUAAAGGGCAUCCCUUAGUAACUGAUUUGGGUAUAGACAUGUGACCUAAGUUCCUCCCACCAAAGAGAAGGUCAGGACUGUUGCUGAGAAUGCUGAACCAGGAUGCUAUCCUGGAAUUGAAAGCAGAAGUGUGAGACUCUUAACAGUUUGGGGGCACUGUGGUGGGACCAUAGGGAGAGACUGUCCAGAAUGAAACUGUCUGUCACCUGAGCCUACAAUGAAGAAAUGACAAGGGAGCUGUCGGGUCCUGCCGAGAGGCUCCCUGCUUGCAUAGCUGCUUGGCCAGCUGUGGGGCCAGCUGCCUGUUCCAGAGUCCAAGGUGACCAGACUCCUUCCCUCCCUCUGACCGCCAUGACAAUAGGGGAGAGACAGUGAGUGUGACAAGCAAAUCUUCCCCAGUCGCUGUCACUUCAGCGAUGGGCUGCUCAAGAACUCAGAUGGGCCUUCAUCCAUCACAGCGAGCCUUGGUCCAGGAAGCCUGUGUGGACCUUUGAGACCUAGAGGGAGAAUAUACAAGGCGGAUUUGGUUUACUUGAUGGCUUUAGCUAAGCCCAGCAUUAGUUGGUAGACUACUCCUUGACCUGCAAGCUGUGACUCCCCGGAUACCUGACAUGAAUCAACUACACUGCCUUCAAGGAGGUAGGGGUCCCUUGUGGAUAUCCUUCAUCUGAUGAAGGUAGCCUUCAGGAGGGCCCCAUUUCCCACUUUGGUGGGGGGGCGGAGUCUAAGGAUAUGGAAUGCUCAAGUCCCAGCAGAUGAGCUGAUAAGAAGCAAAUGAACUCAUCUCUUACCAUGUGGAAGGCCCAUGUUCCCUAUAGAGAAUUGCAGAGUGAAACCCGUUACUGGACUCGUCAACAAACUAAAAAACAAAAACAGAAAUGCUGUCAGAGACAGUAGGGAACAGCUACUUAUUCCUAAUCCUUAAUGUUAAUUUCACUAAAUCUUUGUGUUACAAAAAGACAAACAUGAUAUGUACUCACUCAUAUGUGGAUUUUAGACAUAGAGUAAAGAAUUACCAGCCUGCAAUCCACACUGCCAGAGAAGCUAGUAAACAAGGAGGACCCUAAGAGAG
ensembl:lncRNA